GAUGAACGCUGGCGGCGUGCCUAAUACAUGCAAGUCGAGCGAACAGACGAGGAGCUUGCUCCUCUGACGUUAGCGGCGGACGGGUGAGUAACACGUGGAUAACCUACCUAUCAGACUGGGAUAACUUCGGGAAACCGGAGCUAAUACCGGAUAAUAUAUUGAUCCGCAUGGUUCAAUAGUGAAAGACGGUGUUGCUGGCACUUAUAGAUGGAUCCGCGCCGCAUUAGCUAGUUGGUAAGGUAACGGCUUACCAAGGCUACGAUGCGUAGACGACCUGAGAGAGUGAUCGGCCACACUGGAACUGAGACACGGUCAAGACUCCUACGGGAGGCAGCAGUAGGGAAUCUUCCGCAAUGGGCGAAAGCCUGACGGAGCAACGCCGCGUGAGUGAUGAAGGUCUUCGGAUCGUAAAACUCUGUUAUUAGGGAAGAACAAAUGUGUAAGUAACUAUGCACGUCGUGACGGUACCUAAUCAGAAAGCCACGGCUAACUACGUG
rnacentral:rRNA from 1 species